rnacentral:rRNA from 1 species
AGUGAACGCUGGCGGCAGGCCUAACACAUGCAAGUCGAACGGCAGCGCAGCAGUAGCAAUACUGUGGGCGGCGAGUGGCGGACGGGUGAGGAAUACAUCGGAAUCUACCUUGUCGUGGGGGAUAACGUAGGGAAACUUACGCUUCUACCGCAUACGACCCACGGGUGAAAGCGGCGGACCGCAAGGCGUCGCGCGAUUGGAUGAGCCGAUGUCCGAUUAGCUAGUUGGCGGGGUAAAGGCCCACCAAGGCGACGAUCGGUAGCUGGUCUGAGAGGACGAUCAGCCACACUGGAACUGAGACACGGUCCAGACUCCUACGGGAGGCAGCAGUGGGGAAUAUUGGACAAUGGGCGCAAGCCUGAUCCAGCCAUGCCGCGUGUGUGAAGAAGGCCUUCGGGUUGUAAACUGCUUUUGUACGGAACGAAACGGUCUGGGUUAAUACCCUGGGCUAAUGACGGUACCGUAAGAAUAAGCACCGGCUAACUACGUGCCAGCCGCCGCGGUAACAC